rnacentral:rRNA from 1 species
GAGUUUGAUUCUGGCUCAGGACGAACGCUGGCGGCGUGCCUAAUACAUGCAAGUCGAACGAACGGAAGUUAGAACUUGUUCUAAUGGAAGUGAGUGGCGAACGGGUGAGUAACACGUGGGUAACCUACCUUUAAGCGGGGGAUAACAGUCGGAAACGACUNCUAAUACCGCAUAGGACAUAGCGUCACAUNACGCAGUGAGGAAAGACGGUUUCGGCUGUCACUUAGAGAUGGACCCGCGGUGCAUUAGCUAGUUGGUAAGGUAACGGCUUACCAAGGCGAUGAUGCAUAGCCGACCUGAGAGGGUGAUCGGCCACAUUGGGACUGAGACACGGCCCAAACUCCUACGGGAGGCAGCAGUAGGGAAUCUUCCGCAAUGGACGAAAGUCUGACGGAGCAACGCCGCGUGAGUGAAGAAGGUCUUCGGAUCGUAAAGCUCUGUUGUUAGAGAAGAAGAGUUAUGGGAGUAACUGACCAUAAUGUGACC